rnacentral:rRNA from 1 species
UGAUGGACGAGUCUGACGGAGCACGCCGCGUGAGUGAAGAAGGUUUUCGGAUCGUAAAACUCUGUUGUUAGGGAAGAACAAGUCAGGUAGUAACUGACCUGACCUUGACGGUACCUAACCAGAAAGCCACGGCUAACUACGUGCCAGCAGCCGCGGUAAUACGUAGGUGGCAAGCGUUGUCCGGAUUUAUUGGGCGUAAAGCGCUCGCAGGCGGUCUUUUAAGUCUGAUGUGAAAGCCCACGGCUUAACCGUGGAGGGUCAUUGGAAACUGGAGGACUUGAGUGCAGAAGAGGAGAGUGGAAUUCCAUGUGUAGCGGUGAAAUGCGUAGAGAUAUGGAGGAACACCAGUGGCGAAGGCGACUCUCUGGUCUGUAACUGACGCUGAGGAGCGAAAGCGUGGGUAGCGAACAGGAUUAGAUACCCUGGUAGUCCACGCCGUAAACGAUGAGUGCUAGGUGUUAGGGGGUUUCCGCCCCUUAGUGCUGAAGUUAACGCAUUAAGCACUCCGCCUGGGGAGUACGGCCGCAAGGCUGAAACUCAAAAAAUUUUGACGGA